rnacentral:rRNA from 1 species
CGAUAAGGGAACUCCUAGUGCUCAUGUUAUGCAUGGGCUUUUGCCAAGUGUAAAUAGCUUGGCGAAUAAGUGGUGGGUAAGACGGGUGCCAGCCGCCGCGGUAACACCUGCGCCACGAGUAGCAUUCACGUUUAUUGGGCCUAAAGCGUCCGUAGCCGGAUUUGUAAGUCUUGAGUGAAAUCGUUGCGCUUAACAAAACGACGUGCUUGGGAAACUACAAGUCUUGGGACCGGGAGGCGUCAAGGGUAUUCCUGAGGGAGCGGUAAAAUGCUAUAAUCUCAGGAGGACCACCUGUGGUGAAGACGCUUGACGAGAACGGAUUCGACGGUGAGGGACGAAAGCUAGGGGAGCAAAACGGAUUAGAUACCCGAGUAGUCCUAGCUGUAAACGCUGUGUACUAGAUGUUGCGUAUUCUACGAGAAUACGCAGUGUCGGAGCGAAGGCGUUAAGUACACCGCCUGGGAAGUACGGUCGCAAGGCUGAAACUUAAAG